rnacentral:rRNA from 1 species
AAGUGGUACGCGAGCUGGGUUUAGAACGUCGUGAGACAGUUCGGUCCCUAUCUGCCGUGGGCGCUGGAGAACUGAGGGGGGCUGCUCCUAGUACGAGAGGACCGGAGUGGACGCAUCACUGGUGUUCGGGUUGUCAUGCCAAUGGCACUGCCCGGUAGCUAAAUGCGGAAGAGAUAAGUGCUGAAAGCAUCUAAGCACGAAACUUGCCCCGAGAUGAGUUCUCCCUGACUCCUUGAGAGUCCUGAAGGAACGUUGAAGACGACGACGUUGAUAGGCCGGGUGUGUAAGCGCAGCGAUGCGUUGAGC